GCGUCAGUAGUGCAGCGGUUCGAGCACACGCCACCCGAGCAGGGUGAAACCUGCGUUCGAGUCCCAACUGACGCG